UAAAAGCUGAAACGUAGCAUUUAAUGUUGCUACACUCACAUUAAGCCACGUCAGCAGCCACGUCAUUUCCAUCAUUUUUUCUGAAUUUUUAAUUUAAUUUUAAAAUACAUUUUACCAAUUUUAAAAUCCUAAUAAAACUAAAAUUAUUUCCAGCCCUAUCUCUAAUUUAAAGUCCACUUCUUUUACAUUUAAUUCCACUGUAAAGCCCAAGCCCACACCCAAAGCCUUUUCAACCGAUUCCCUUUAUCAAACCUGAUGUUUUUUCACGGUUACAACUUCCUGUCUCCCAGUCGCACGUUUUGUUUCAUUGUUUCAGGUUUAGUCCCUUCCCCUUCCCCACUUUUUGAUUCUCACGGUUUCAGCUUUUGUUCUACUAUUUCACUCACGGUUUCAUCUUCCUGUUCUACGGUUUCAGCUUCAGUUUCGGCUUCUAACGCUAAUGAGGACAAUGUAAUCGUUAACUGCAACUGCCAUAUGAUUUGCUGCUCUGCCUUAUCUCUUCUCUGCAACAUUAUUUUUUAAAGAUGGGUUCUGCCAUUGUUUUUCCUACUGUUUGGCAUGAAAUGUAAAAAACGUAUGCAUAAGGGGAGAUAGGGAGACAUCUUAGGCCAGCACCACCGUCGGACUUUAACCACCAAAAAACUGGCUUCCCUCAACCGGCGGUACACUAUUACAGGAAUGAGAUUGAUUUUCAAGAUUUAUGAUGGCUGAACCAAUGCUCAUGAUUGGUGGCAAUAAUGCUCAACUUAAGUUGCUGCAUAACUCAUGUUGGUGUUGCUGCUGGAGGCUUAAGUAGCUGCAUAAUUGCUGGCGUUGUUGUUGCUUAAAGUCAAAUUCUUUUUUCAGACAAUAUAUGCUUAAAUAUACUACAUUAUUUAAGUCAAAUUCUUUUUUAGAAAGAGCAUGUAAUUCAGUAACUUAUCAUUAUGUUUAGCUAUUUAAUUCCAUAAAAUUUUAGGUCAAUUGAGCCACAAGUGAAAGGAAAAGAUUUACUUUGACUGUGAUAUUGCUUUAAGUCCUUUCUCUUUCGGGUUUGCUUUCUACUAAAUUAUCUCUAUCUUUAUCUUUAUCUUUUUUAUAUUUCUUUUGUUAGCAUUAUAUAGAUUUUCAUUAUUAACACAAUAAAUCAUUGUAUUAAAGUUACCUAAUAUGUGUUAGAUGAAGAUGACGUUGCCAGUUUUAUUUUUGUGCAACAAUUGGUUAUAUGAUUAUUUACUAAAUUCAACUUUUGAAUGGUGAAACUAGAGAAAGAGAUUAUUUAAUUUAUUAAGAAGAAAUUUUCUUUUCUAUUUCUUUGAGGAAAUUAAUAAGAUUUUUUUCCCCCGAAGGCGUGUGAGCUCUACACUUUUGGGAGCAUAUAAGUCACCAUGGGAAAGGAAGAACUCUGCCAAGAGCUUGGAAACCACUUUUUAUUGUACUUUGAGACCACGAUUUAACUUUGACCUGUCUUGUGGUGAAAAAAGAGACUACAACAUAUAGUGAUACAAUGUAUACAAUAAAUGAUCAUUGUCAUUCAUGACAAGUGGAAGCCGUGUAUAAUCACUAAUUAGAUUAGUUUUAUAUUUAUUGGGAUGUGAUGUGAGUUUUCGUUAUUAAAA